GACGAACGCUGGCGGCGUGCUUAACACAUGCAAGUCGAGCGGUAAGGCCCUUUCGGGGGUACACGAGCGGCGAACGGGUGAGUAACACGUGGGUGACCUGCCCUCAGCUCUGGGAUAAGCCUGGGAAACCGGGUCUAAUACCGGAUAUGACUCCAUGACGCAUGUUGUGGGGUGGAAAGCCUUGUGCGGCUGAGGAUGGGCCCGCGGCCUAUCAGCUUGUUGGUGGGGUGAUGGCCUACCAAGGCGACGACGGGUAGCCGGCCUGAGAGGGCGACCGGCCACACUGGGACUGAGACACGGCCCAGACUCCUACGGGUGGCUGCAGUCGAGGAUCUUCGGCAAUGGGCGCAAGCCUGACCGAGCGACGCCGCGUGCGGGAUGAAGGCCUU
rnacentral:rRNA from 1 species